UGCAUGUCUCAGUACAUGCCGAAUUAAGGUGAAACCGCGAAUGGCUCAUUAAAUCAGUUAUGGUUCAUUAGAUCGUGGACACAUUUACUUGGAUAACUGUGGUAAUUCUAGAGCUAAUACAUGCAAACAGAAUUCCUCUCAGAGAUGGGAGGAAUGCUUUUAUUAGAUCAAAACCAAUCGGUGGCGGACGGCUCGUCCGUUCGUCCAUCGUUUGUUUUGGUGACUCUGAAUAACUUUGUGCUGAUCGCAUGGUCAUCUAGCACCGGCGACGCAUCUUUCAAAUGUCUGCCUUAUCAACUGUCGAUGGUAGGUUCUGCGCCUACCAUGGUUGUAACGGGUAACGGGGAAUCAGGGUUCGAUUCCGGAGAGGGAGCCUGAGAAACAGCUACCACAUCCAAGGAAGGCAGCAGGCGCGCAAAUUACCCACUCCCGGCACGGGGAGGUAGUGACGAAAAAUAACGAUACGGGACUCAUCCGAGGCCCCGUAAUCGGAAUGAGUACACUUUAAAUCCUUUAACGAGGACCAAUUGGAGGGCAAGUCUGGUGCCAGCAGCCGCGGUAAUUCCAGCUCCAAUAGCGUAUAUUAAAGUUGUUGCGGUUAAAAAGCUCGUAGUUGAAUCUGUGUGUCACAGUGUCGGUUCACCGCUCGCGGUGUUUAACUGGCAUUAUGUGGUACGUCCUAUCGGUGGGCUUAGCUCCUUGCGGGCGGUCCAACUAAUAUCCCAUCGCGGUGCUCUUCACUGAGUGUCGAGGUGGGCCGAUACGUUUACUUUGAAAAAAUUAGAGUGCUUAAAGCAGGCUACCUUUGCCUGAAUACUGUGUGCAUGGAAUAAUGGAAUAGGACCUCGGUUCUAUUUUGUUGGUUUUCGGAACCCCGAGGUAAUGAUUAAUAGGGACAGAUGGGGGCAUUCGUAUUGCGACGUUAGAGGUGAAAUUCUUGGAUCGUCGCAAGACGGGACAGAAGCGAAAGCAUUUGCCCAAAAAUGUUUUCAUUAAUCAAGAACGAAAGUUAGAGGUU
rnacentral:rRNA from 1 species